GGGGACGUGGCCCAGCCAGGCAGGGCGACUGACUCCAGAGGCCACGCCCGGUGACGAGACUCCAGACUGAUAUACCGAGUGAGCGGGUGAUCACCGUCUCACGAUGACGACCCUCUGGAGUACCGAGGCAUACCGGAGAUAUCAGUCAAUCGGGGGUUCAAAUCCCUCCGUCCCCA
rnacentral:tRNA from 1 species